CCUACGGGGGGCAGCUGUGGGGAAUAUUGGACAAUGGGGGGAACCCUGAUCCAGCCAUGCCGCGUGUGUGAAGAAGGCCCUCGGGUUGUAAAGCACUUUCAGUGAGGAAGAACGCCUGGUGGUUAAUACCCAUCAGGAAAGACAUCACUCACAGAAGAAGCACCGGCUAACUCCGUGCCAGCAGCCGCGGUAAUACGGAGGGUGCGAGCGUUAAUCGGAAUUACUGGGCGUAAAGCGCGCGUAGGUGGCUUGAUAAGCCGGUUGUGAAAGCCCCGGGCUCAACCUGGGAACGGCAUCCGGAACUGUCAAGCUAGAGUGCAGGAGAGGAAGGUAGAAUUCCCGGUGUAGCGGUGAAAUGCGUAGAGAUCGGGAGGAAUACCAGUGGCGAAGGCGGCCUUCUGGACUGACACUGACACUGAGGUGCGAAAGCGUGGGUAGCAAACAGGAUUAGAUACCCGGGUAGUC
rnacentral:rRNA from 1 species